UGCAGGUUUUAGAAAUAGACCGAGAGUGAGCUGUUCUUGCUGUAAGAAUAGAGGGUAUGUGAAAUGCUUGUAUUCUUCUCUUGAUAAUGAAAUCUAAAUUCUCUUUCGCUGGCCCGUGGAUGUAGGUUGUUUGUAACGGAACCACGUAAAAUACUUGUGUUCUUUGUCUUUCUCAUCUGUUUUUCUGGUAUGCUUGCAUCUAUUUUCUGAUAUAUCUGAUGGUAUAAGCUGCGGCUUUUUUCUUUGAUGGUGUGGUGGUUGUUGGUCUUGAUCUGUUGGCUGUAACAUUGGGGUCUCAGAUUAGAUAUCUGAUCAGUUUUUCAUCGUCAUAGAUACAGUUGCUUUCACUUGCUGUAGAGCUGAUUGGCAAAUCUAUAACGUGGGUGUUGCUGCUUCGUCAUUUAAGAAACUGAAAGUCAGCUUCGAAAAGUGUCAGAUAGUCUAGAAUUUUUCUCCACUCAAGCAGUGUCGAGGGCAUUAAUUUGCAGGAUGCUUGCAGAUCCUGAUUCUUUACAUAAGCUUCUCUUAGAGCAGGCUGCUACAAUUGGUUGCUCAGUUUGGUCGGAGUUUAUGAAUAGGAAGGAAAGGACAAAGAAAGAAUGGAAUCUGGCAUUUGUAAAUGUGCUCACUGUUGCAGCAUGCAACGCUAUUGCUGUUUGGUCCGUUGCUCCUUGUCAUUCAUAUGGAAACACAUUCCGGUUUGAUUUGCAAACUACAUUGUAGAAGCUCCCAAAAAACAAAUUUCAAAGAAGUUAUCCACUGAGGAUAUAUGAUCUACAAAAGAGAAUACACUCCUUCUAUAGCGCCCCAGAGUUGCGUAUGGUUGGGCUAACUGCUGAAGCAGUGCAAGGUUCUUUAUCAAAUUAUCUGGCCAGUAUGGAGGGAAGGUAUGAAGCAAAAGAAAACCUACUUAAACUGUUUCUUUUGAGGGAAUCAAUUAAAACUAAAUAGUACUGAUUAGAGUUUAUCAACAAGAAUGAAGGAAACCAUUUGACUUAUUUGAAAGAUCAAAUAACAAAAGUUUAAUAUUCAAAAAUCAAAGAAUCUAUGAUAUCACAUUGUACCAUUAUUUUUACAAGAAUAUAAUUAUACAUAUUUUUCGAUAUUCGUGCAUCAGUUAUGAUUUUUUUUUUUUUUAAAGGAAUAAUUUAAAUGACUCCAAAAUAGCUUUUUGG